rnacentral:snRNA from 1 species
GGAUGUGAGGAUGAUUUGGCUGCAACAUCUGUCACCCUAUCGAUCUCCAGGGUUGAUCUGACUGAUCUGACUGGCUAGGUGGGUGCCCCCUUCCUCCCUCACUGCUCCAUGUGCGUCCCCCUGUUAGAACCUCCAAAACAACUUCCCAAGAUGAAGAUGUGUAUUGUCUGAUAAAACAAACAAACAAACAAAACAACAACAACAACAACCAGCUUUGGUACUUUACUUACUGUGGAAUUU